UACGGAGGGUGCAAGUGUUAUUCGGAAUCACUGGGCGUAAAGAGCACGUAGGCGGAUGGGUAAGUCAGAUGUGAAAUCCCGGGGCUUAACUUCGGAACUGCAUUUGAUACUGCCCGUCUUGAGUGUGGUAGAGGGGGAUGGAAUUCCCGGUGUAGAGGUGAAAUUCGUAGAUAUCGGGAGGAACACCAGAGGCGAAGGCGAUCCCCUGGGCCAUUACUGACGCUGAGGUGCGAAAGCGUGGGGAGCAAACAGG
rnacentral:rRNA from 1 species